rnacentral:tRNA from 1 species
GCCCCUGUAGCUUAAUGGUAAAGCGCACUACUGUUAAUAGUGUUUAUGGAUGUUCGAUUCAUCUUAGGGGCU